ACAUUAUACAAAAGUCAAAAAAGACAAACACAUAAUUAGGACAAAACAAUAAAAGGAGGAAUUGGAGGACACAAAACAAUUGGACAUAAUACAAAGGUCAAUAAGACAAACACGUAAUUAGGACAAAACAAUAAAAGGAGGACUUGGAGGACACAAAACAAUUGGACAAAACACAAAAGUCAAUAAAGACAUACAUAUAAUUAGGACAAAAAAAUAAAAGGAGGAUUUGGAGGAUACAAAACAAUUGGACAUAACACUAAAAAGCCAAAAUGAGAAACACAUAAUCGGGACAGAAAAAUAUAAGGAGGACUUGGAGGACAUAAAACAAUUGGGCAUCACACAAAAAAAUCACAGGGGAGGACAGAACAAGGACAAAGGAAUGUGGGACAGGAUGGUUACACAGACAGGAAUAAAAGCAUAAAGUCACGUAAAAACCAAAGGAAAGGACAAAUAGGAAGGGGGUGCCAUAAAUAUAUCAAAAAAACCUAAGACAAAGACUGGAAAGGAAAUUAAAGAAGGGGGUGCCAUUAAAAUAAUAAAAACAAAGAAAGCCAAAGAAAAGAAAGGACAAAACAUUAAGAAUAUUAAACAGAAAAAUAAUGAAACGGAAAACCCAAGAGUGGGAGGAGACAGCACACUAUAAAAGCCAAGGGAGGCACACAAAAAACACACACAGACACGUUGGGCCAGCCUGAGGAAGGCCUAUAACCGGCCGAAACGUCGCGACGGCCCAAUGACACAGAAACACAUUAUUAAAACACAAAACAACAAAAAAAUAAUAAUAAUUAUAAUAAUAACCUACUUACGGGUAAUUUUUGGAAACGGGAUAGGGACAUCAUACCAAUCCGUUGGACGAUCACAGCCUCUUGGGGCAUGCUAUGGGGGACCUUGACGCCCGGGAUGGGAACAGGUAUGGACAGUGCAUUGGAGCCCGGCCCCCUUCGGGGACCGGACUCCCAACUUGAUUUCCCCUAACCGGCCAGUGCCGCCUGUCCGCCCGCUUGGGUAGCGCGGGGUUCCCUGAGGGCUCCCUCAGGAGGUUCUUUGACCACUGGACUGGGGGUAUCCCGACCCCCUCACCAAUCCUAACCCUAACCACAUAGGACAUACAAAAACAAUUGGACACAACACAUCCUGACCCUAACCACAUACAAUCUGGACAAAAACAAUUGGACAUUAUACAAAAGUCAAUAAAGACAAACACAUAAUUAGGACAAAACAAUAAAAGGAGGAAUUGGAGGACACAAAACAAUUGGACAUAAUACAAAGGUCAAUAAGACAAACACGUAAUUAGGACAAAACAAUAAAAGGAGGACUUGGAGGACACAAUACUAAAAUCAAUAAAGACAUACAUAUAAUUAGGACAAAAAAUAAAAAAAUAAAAAUAAAAAAAAUAAAUAAAAGGAGGAUUUGGAGGAUACAAAACAAUUGGACAUAACACUAAAAGCCAAGACAAGAAACACGUAAUUGGGACAGAAAAAUCAAAGGAGGACUUGGAGGACACAAAACAAUUGGGCAUCACACAAAAGGUUACAGAGGAGAACAUAACAAGGACAAAGGAAGGUGGGACAGGAUGGUUACAAAGAAAGGAAUAAAAUCAUAAAGUCACGUAAAAACAAAAGGAAAGGACAAAUAGGAAGGGGGUGCCAUAAAAAUAUAUAAAAAAAAAACGUAAGAAAAAUACUGGAAAGGAAACUAAAGAAGGGGGUGCCAUUACAAUAAUAAAAACAAAGAAAGCCAAAGAAAGGACAGGACAAAACAUUAAGAAUAUUAAACAGAAAAAUAAUGAAACGGAAAACCCAAGAGUGGGAGGAGACAGCACACUAUAAAAGCCAAGGGAGGCACACAAAAAACACACACAGACACGUUGGGCCAGCCUGAGGAAGGCCUAUAACCGGCCGAAACGUCGCGACGGCCCAAUGACACAGAAACACAUUAUUAAAACACAAAACAACAAAAAAAUAAUAAUAAUUAUAAUAAUAACCUACUUACGGGUAAUUUUUGGAAACGGGAUAGGGACAUCAUACCAAUCCGUUGGACGAUCACAGCCUCUUGGGGCAUGCUAUGGGGGACCUUGACGCCCGGGACGCCUUCGGGGACCGGACUCCCAACUUGAUUUCCCUCAACCCCAGUGAAAGGAACCCCAAGUAAAACUCAAAAUAACGGCCAAAGACACAAAGAAAUAAACAAAAAUGAAGGCCAGGUGUAUAAUUAGGAAAGGAGGGUAUGUAAGCCAAAGGAAAGGAAGCAGGAAUUAGGAGCAAAAGGAAACAGAAGGCAAAGCAAGGGUAGGAAAGGAGAAAGGAAAGGAAAAGGAUAGGGUUAAGCCAAAGAAAGCAGUGGAAAAAAGGAAAAACGGAAAGUCACAUAUAUCCGGCACUUUGGAUGCUAUGCAGUGGGGAGGAGCCAAAAGCUAUAAAAG
ensembl:lncRNA